UUCAAGGCCGGCCGGGCUGGCUUGGCAGGGAUUUCGGUGGGGCGGGGAGCUCCAGGUGUGUCGGGCAGCCGUGCCCCUGCUGCCUCCCAUCCGCACCGGGCUGGCCUAGGCAGAGCGGCCCGGGGAAGGGAUAGGGAUGGAGAUGGGGCUCCCAAGGGGAAGGGCAGCCACUUCUGCCCCUUCUUCCAAGCCCUGGGACAGUUGCAGAGUUUUGCCAGAUGCAGGGUGUUGUAUCUGAGGGGUUGUUUUUCCCUCCGCAGAGAAGAUCCCCACCCGUGCUGAGGGUGUCCUGAGAAGAUGCUGCGCCCAGUUGCCUUUAGCACUACAAGCCUCGCUGUUUCCCCUAGGUGAAGAUACGGCUUUGGUGUCUGCAUCCAAAAAAAUAAAUAAAUAUAAAGACCCUGCAACUUCUCCAGGAGACAGCAGCGUCCACUGCUGCCACUGAGCUCUCCUAAAGGGACGCUGUGUACAUGUCACGCUAGUACAGGAAUGCUAUGGUGAGAAAGGCUUUGUGGAAAUGCUUUCUCCCGCAUUGUUAAGGAAAGAGCGACUUCAGCUUCCCUCCGACAGCCUUUCAGAGGGAAAUAAAAACGGCGCAAAGUGGGCCUGAAGCUCAGGAAGAACUUUUUUUUUUUUUUUUUUUUUUUUUUUUGUAAUGAAAAAGGUGGAGGGAUAAGUUUAAUUGUAAUCAGGCUGCAACAAUACACCAUGUGAUCAUGUGGUAGCAAUUAUUACAAGCUCCCAGCAGAAAUAGAGAGAGGAUAUGCCAUUGCAGCUCACUGUAGUCUGGGUUUAUUUUCUUUUUCAAAAAAAUAUGACCCACUGAUAUAUCUAUCAGGCGAAAAAUGAUUUUACCCUUCAAACGCUAAAUCCUGAAAACCGGAGGAUAGCCCAACAGUAUCAAGAAAGAUUAACUCGACUAUCGUUGUAUUAUCCAUUGCUACUACCCGGCCGUACUAGAAAGUUUUUAACUGGAAGAUGUAACUGACCUGAUAAAAACUGCUGAAGUGGGUAUCUACUCAGACAGCCUGGCCUCCUCGUUAUCAGAAUUUGUUAAGACUAAAAUAAAAAUGUUCUCGGGUUCCUUUGUGCGAACGGGGAUAGCUGAUUGCGAAGGAAUCCGUCUGUUUGCAUGGCAAGGC